rnacentral:tRNA from 1 species
GCCGACGCGGCGCGACUCGGCAUACAGCGGCUGGGUUUCCAUCUCGGUCGGCUGCAACAACACCUGCACGUUCUGCAUCGUGCCGUCGCUGC